GAUGAACGCUAGCGGCAGGCUUAAUACAUGCAAGUUGAGGGGCAGCAUGAUAUACGCGAGUAUAUUGAUGGCGACCGGCGGACGGGUGAGUAAUAGGUAGGAGACCUACCUCAUACAGGGGGAUAGCAUAGAGAAAUCUGUGGUAAUACCCCAUGAGGUUAUAUGAAUAGAGGCAUAUAAUCAAAGCAUAAGCGAUUAUGCGGUAUGAGAGGGGCCUACUGACCAUUAGCUAGUUGGUGAGGUAAGGGCUCACCAAGGCGAAGAUGGUUAGGGGUUUUGAGAGAGAGACCCCCCACAUUGGAACUGAGAGACGGUCCAGACUCCUACGGGAGGCAGCAGUAGGGAAUAUUGGGCAAUGGGCGAAAGCCUGACCCAGCCACGCCGCGUGAAGGAAGACGGCCUUAUGGGUUGUAAACCUCUUUACUACGCGAAUAGAGGUUAGUACGAGAUACUAAUAGGAAGGUAGUGUAGUAAAAAGCACCGGCUAACUCCGUG
rnacentral:rRNA from 1 species